rnacentral:rRNA from 1 species
AUGGCCGGUGAGGAGGAGGUGCAGGUGGUAGAGUCCUGCUUCGUAACGCCGGCCGUGGACACGCUGAGGAAAGCGCUAUGGCUCUCGGCACUCGACCUCAUGCUAGCCAACAGAGGCUACACCCCGCUCGUUCAUUUCUACCGUCGAUGUCCCGGCACCGAAACCACCGACGACUUCUUCAGCGUGACCAAGUUGAAGACAGCGCUAGGCAAGGCCCUUGUGGGCUUCUACCCCAUGGCCGGCCGCCUCAGGGUGGACGCCAACGGCAGGUUAGAGAUCGAUUGCAACAGCAAGGGCAUGAUUUUCCUCGUGGCUCGCUCCCAACUUACCAUCGACGACUUUAGCGAUUUGAAACCAUCACCAAGGCUGAGGAGGUUGUUUGUUCCCCAAAUGCUCUCAGCUGAGGUGUGUGCCACCCAGGUCAGUCUGAUUCUUACAUAA